AUUCUUUAGUAUCGAAUGCUUACGUAAUAAUACGUGGUCGCGUUGGCGCGUAUACUCCUACGAACCGUGCGCGUUCUAUAUCCACGGAAAUUCUCGAGCGCGGUGCAUCGGUGCACUUUAAAGCUCGCGGUUGUAUAUUUCCUCCCGUGCACCGAACACCUCGCACUUGAGCCUUGUCACAAUAAAACAUCGGUCGCGCUUCCGCGGCGUUGCUCGCUCACUGUCGCGAAACAAAAAUGUUUCGCCGCGGAACGUCGUGCAAUUAAGGACACAGAAUCCCUUGCCGAUAAACUUUGUAACAUGUUGAUGUUCGGAUUUUUUUAUAUAAAAAAUCAAAUCAGAUUGUGACAUAGUAAUUUUGCAGAUAGGUAUAAGAAUAGUUAUGAAGAAUAUGUCUAGCUGAAUGAAAAUUUGCUGGCUAUCGUAAAUUCACGAUAAAUCCAGACUCGACGCGAAACCUCUUAAGGACUUCGUAGCAGGGUUAUAUAUCAAUCACAGAGAAAGCUAAUAGGGGAAUGGAGCAAGGCAACAUCCUCACGUGAGAAAUUCAUGGAAAACGUGGUAUCUUUCGCGCGUGCCGCGUGAACACGUGCAUUCUCAAAAUAGAACGCAAAUAUUGUUGACGUGAAAUGGGAAUUAAUAGAGAGGAUCCGAAAUACUGAAAAGACAAAUACAGAUGUGGCAUAUCUACUGUUCUGCAUGCAAACAGUCAUAUUGACAAUAAGCCUCCGAUAAGCGAAGCAUUUGCGUGCAUGCAUACGUUCAAUCAUUGAUGAUUGCUACAAGAGCAAACGAAUGUAAUAACGAUUUUACGUAAUAAUCAGCCUGAUAGGAUGCAUUCGUUUCUGUCAUACCUAUCAUAAAAAUUGCUGGUUGAAAUCCUAUUAUUGGAUAUGAUCGUUUACGACCUUGUGUAUGAAUUCACGUGCGUAGGAUGCUUGGCCAGUCAGUGAAACAACUACACAUUCUCGGGGAUCAGUAGAAGUUUUCUGUAAUGAACAGACUCUACUGUUCACAGGACGGCACAUGUAUUUCUUUGACUUGAUAGACGACACACUCUUUUUAUUUUUUUUAUUAUCGAAUAAUUGUUUAAUUUACCAUUCAUUUACAUAUUUUUAAUUGAAUUUUAAAAAAGUUGGUAAAAUAUUAAAAAGUAUUAUAAAAAGGGAAUAGAAUUAUGCUUUGUGGUAUUGUAAAAGAUAUUAAUAUUCGAUUAAUUAAUAUAAAAGUUGAAAUAUAAGAAUAAUAAAUUAUAUUGGUACGUUU
rnacentral:misc_RNA from 1 species